UACGUAGGGGGCAAGCGUUGUCCGGAUUUAUUGGGCGUAAAGAGCGUGUAGGCGGCCAGAUAGGUCAGCUGUGAAAACUCGAGGCUCAACCUCGAGACGUCGGUUGAAACCAUCUGGCUAGAGUCCGGGAGAGGAGAGUGGAAUUCCUGGUGUAGCGGUGAAAUGCGCAGAUAUCAGGAAGAACACCCGUGGCGAAAGCGGCUCUCUGGAACGGUACUGACGCUGAGACGCGAAAGCGUGGGGAGCGAACAGG
rnacentral:rRNA from 1 species